rnacentral:rRNA from 1 species
GACGAACGCUGGCGGCGUGCUUAACACAUGCAAGUCGAACGGAAAGGCCUGCUUUCCCUUGUGGAUUGCGGGUACUCGAGUGGCGAACGGGUGAGUAACACGUGAGUGAUCUGCCCCCAACUUGGGUAUAAGCCUGGGAAACUGGGUCUAAUUCCCGAUAGGACUGCAGGGUGGUGCCUGUGGUGGACAACGAGUUUCUAGUGGUUGGGGAUGAGCUCGCGGCCUAGCAGCUUGUUGGUGGGGUAAUGGCCUACCAAGGCGGCGACGGGUAGCCGGACUGAGAGGGUGGACGGCCACAUUGAGACUGGGAUACGGCCCAGACUCCUGCGGGCGGCAGCAGUGGGGAGUAUUGGACAGUGGGCGGAAGCCAGAUGCAGCGACGCCGCGUGGGGGAUGACGGCCUUCGGGUUGUAAACUCCUUUCGACCGCGAGGAAGCCACCUGGUUGGAAGGGUGGUGACGGUAGUGGUAGAAGAAGCACCGGCUAACUACGUG